GCUCUUCGUUAAGGUCGCCAGGAGUGAAAGGCUGACAAUUUUUGCCCUGACUCAGGAGCUCUCAACAGUAUGCAAAAGCUGCCAUGUUAGUGUGCACUGCGAUACACAGAAAGAGUUACAUAACAUACAUGAGUUUCCCAGUGGCUGCUGGAACAUUCAGUUUUCCAGCGAAACUCUGGAGCAGGAAGAAAAGCAAACCACCCGCAGCCG